UACGUAGGGGGCAAGCGUUGUCCGGAUUUAUUGGGCGUAAAGAGCGUGUAGGCGGCCAGACAGGUCCGUUGUGAAAACUCGAGGCUCAACCUCGAGAUGUCGAUGGAAACCGUCUGGCUAGAGUCCGGAAGAGGAGUGUGGAAUUCCUGGUGUAGCGGUGAAAUGCGCAGAUAUCAGGAAGAACACCUAUGGCGAAGGCAGCACUCUGGGACGGUACUGACGCUGAGACGCGAAAGUGUGGGGAGCAAACAGG
rnacentral:rRNA from 1 species